UACGUAGGGGGCGAGCGUUGUCCGGAAUCAUUGGGCGUAAAGAGCGUGUAGGCGGCUUGGCAAGUCUGACGUGAAAGCCCGCGGCUCAACCGCGGAUUGUCGUUGGAAACUGCCUCGCUAGAGUCCGGAAGAGGAGAGCGGAAUUCCUGGUGUAGCGGUGGAAUGCGCAGAUAUCGUAAGGAAGACCAGUGGCGAAGGCGGGUCUCUGGACAGUUCCUGACGCUGAGGCACGAAGGUCAGGGGAGCAAACGGG
rnacentral:rRNA from 1 species